UACGUAGGGGGCUAGCGUUGUCCGGAAUCAUUGGGCGUAAAGCGUCUGUAGGUGGCUUUUUAAGUCUGCCGUCAAAUCCCAGGGCUUAACCCUGGACAGGCGGUGGAAACUACCAAGCUGGAGUACGGUAGGGGCAGAGGGAAUUUCCGGUGGAGCGGUGAAAUGCGUAGAGAUCGGGAAGAACAUCGGUGGCGAAAGCGCUCUACUGGACCGCAACUGACACUCAGGGACGAAAGCUAGGGGAGCGAAUGGG
rnacentral:rRNA from 1 species